UUUUUUAACCAGGUUUUCCGAAGGAAAAAACUGGUUAUUAGAUUGGCGAAUGCGGGCGGGCUGGCUGGCUGGCUGGCUGGCGGGCUGGCUGGCUGGCUGGCGGGCUGGCGGAAUAAGCUUGUCCGGGCCAUAACUAUGUCGUUCAUUGUCAGAUUUUAAAAUCAUUUGGCACAUUUGUUCACCAUCAUUGGACGGUGUGUCGCGCGAAAUAAUUACGUCGAUAUCUCCAAGGUCAAGGUCACACUUUGAGUUCAAAGGUCAAAAAUGGCCAUAAAUGAGCUUGUCCUGGCCAUAACUAUGUCAUUCAUUGUGAGAUUUUAAAAUCAUUUGGCACAUUUGUUCACCAUCAUGGGACGGUGUGUCCCACGAAAGAAUCACGUCAAUAUCUCCAAUGUCAAGGUCGCCACGACUAAAAAUAGAUUUAAAAAAAAAAAAAAAUUACAAAGGGGGUUAAUUUUUUUUGGUCAUUUCAAAAGUU